CAGAACGACGCUGGCGGCAUGCCUAACACAUGCAAGUCGAACGAGACCUUCGGGGUCUAGUGGCGCACGGGUGCGUAACGCGUGGGAAUCUGCCCUUGGGUUCGGAAUAACAGUUAGAAAUGACUGCUAAUACCGGAUAAUGUCUUCGGACCAAAGAUUUAUCGCCCAGGGAUGAGCCCGCGUAGGAUUAGCUAGUUGGUGAGGUAAAGGCUCACCAAGGCGACGAUCCUUAGCUGGUCUGAGAGGAUGAUCAGCCACACUGGGACUGAGACACGGCCCAGACUCCUACGGGAGGCAGCAGUGGGGAAUAUUGGACAAUGGGCGAAAGCCUGAUCCAGCAAUGCCGCGUGAGUGAUGAAGGCCUUAGGGUUGUAAAGCUCUUUUACCCGGGAAGAUAAUGACUGUACCGGGAGAAUAAGCCCCGGCUAACUCCGUG
rnacentral:rRNA from 1 species